UACGUAGGUGGCAAGCGUUGUCCGGAUUUAUUGGGUUUAAAGGGCGCGUAGGCGGUUUGAUAAGUUAGAGGUGAAAUGUCGGGGCUCAACCCCGAAACUGCCUCUAAUACUGUUGGACUAGAGAAUAGUUGCGGUAGGCGGAAUGUAUGGUGUAGCGGUGAAAUGCUUAGAGAUCAUACAGAACACCGAUUGCGAAGGCAGCUUACCAAACUAUAUCUGACGUUGAGGCACGAAAGCGUGGGUAGCAAACAGG
rnacentral:rRNA from 1 species